UACGUAGGGGGCAAGCGUUGUCCGGAAUCAUUGGGCGUAAAGAGCGUGUAGGCGGCUCGAUAAGUCUGCUGUGAAAGUCCAGGGCUCAACCCUGGAAGGCCGGUGGAAACUGUCGGGCUAGAGUCCGGAAGAGGCGAGUGGAAUUCCCGGUGUAGCGGUGAAAUGCGCAGAUAUCGGGAGGAACACCGGUGGCGAAGGCGGGUCUCUGGGCCGAAACUGACGCUGAGGAGCGAAAGCGUGGGGAGCGAACAGG
rnacentral:rRNA from 1 species